UUUGAAGUAUUAUUUUUCUCACAGUGGUUCCAGAACAGAGUUUGCCCUGGUUAAACAGCUGCUCUCUUUAUCCCUCGGGCUACCAAUGACAAAGAAGCCUGGACACAAGGGCUUGCUGAGAGCCUCCAAACCAGAAUGACCUCCCCAGGACCCUGAAUCUGCAAGAGCAACCUUUCUAAGUUUCACCUCCUGAAACUGAAUGACUUUGCAUCAUUCCCUGAAAGAGACCCCACAUUUGUGGGAUAACCAUUCUUCUCUGAUUCCAAACUGCUUCCAGAGCAAAUGUGCCCCAACAUGUCAUAUGAAGGAGGCUGCACAUUUUGACAUUUUGAUGUUAGUAUCAGCCUUAUUGAUGAAUAGUCCCAAGUUUGGAAGUAUUUUGAAAGCUGCCCUUGUCUGCCGCAGUAGGGAUGCGCAAACCUGAUUAGACUUUCAUAGUCCACAGUGAGCAUUAAUUUGUUCAGCGCUGCCUUCAGGUGGAACAUCUGCAUAAAUCUAGCUUUGUGAAUAUUUUUAAACUGAGAGAUUUUCCAUCUGUUUUGGAGUUAUAGCAGUCCACAUUAUCCUCACUUG